rnacentral:rRNA from 1 species
AUCAAUAAGCGGAGGAAAAGAAACUAACAAGGAUUCCCCUAGUAACUGCGAGUGAAGCGGGAAAAGCUCAAAUUUAAAAUCUGGCGGCUUUGGUCGUCCGAGUUGUAUUCUAGAGAAGUGUUUUCCGCGUUGGACCGUGUAUAAGUCUCUUGGAAUAGAGCGUCAUAGAGGGUGAGAAUCCCGUCUUUGACACGGACUACCAAUGCUUUGUGAUACACUCUCAAAGAGUCGAGUUGUUUGGGAAUGCAGCUCAAAAUGGGUGGUAAAUUCCAUCUAAAGCUAAAUAUUGGCGAGAGACCGAUAGCGAACAAGUACCGUGAGGGAAAGAUGAAAAGCACUUUGGAAAGAGAGUUAAACAGUACGUGAAAUUGCUGAAAGGGAAACGCUUGAAGUCAGUCGCGUUAGCUAGAACUCAACCAGGCUUGCUUGGCGUAUUUUCUAGUUAACGGGCCAGCAUCAGUUUUGACCGCAGGAAAAGGGCCAGGGAAAUGUGGCAUCUUCGGAUGUGUUAUAGUCUCUGGUCGUAUACUGUGAUUGGGACUGAGGACCGCAGCACGCGCAAGCUGUGCUUAGGAUGCUGGCGUAAUGGCUUUAAACGACCCGUCUUGAAACACGGACCAAGGAGU